rnacentral:rRNA from 1 species
GAUGAACGCUGGCGGCGUGCCUAAUACAUGCAAGUCGAGCGAACAGACGAGGAGCUUGCUCCUCUGACGUUAGCGGCGGACGGGUGAGUAACACGUGGAUAACCUACCUAUAAGACUGGGAUAACUUCGGGAAACCGGAGCUAAUACCGGAUAAUAUAUUGAACCGCAUGGUUCAAUAGUGAAAGACGGUUUUGCUGUCACUUAUAGAUGGAUCCGCGCCGCAUUAGCUAGUUGGUAAGGUAACGGCUUACCAAGGCAACGAUGCGUAGCCGACCUGAGAGGGUGAUCGGCCACACUGGAACUGAGACACGGUCCAGACUCCUACGGGAGGCAGCAGUAGGGAAUCUUCCGCAAUGGGCGAAAGCCUGACGGAGCAACGCCGCGUGAAUGAUGAAGGUCUUCGGAUCGUAAAACUCUGUUAUUAGGGAAGAACAAAUGUGUAAGUAACUAUGCACGUCUUGACGGUACCUAAUCAGAAAGCCACGGCGAACUACGU